AGUCCUGGGGUGUCAUCACGUUAGAUUGCAAAUCUGAAGAAGCAGGCUAAUUCCCUGCCGGGGCUU
rnacentral:tRNA from 1 species